AUGAACGCUGGCGGCGUGCCUAAUGCAUGCAAGUCGAACGGAGAGUGUAGCAAUACAUUUUCAGUGGCGAACGGGUGAGUAACGCGUUGGUGACCUGCCCCGAAGUGGGGGAUAACAGUUCGAAAGGACUGCUAAUACCCCAUGUUGUCAUCGAGAUUAGAUGCUUGAUGACCAAAGGAGUAAUCCGCUUUGGGAGGGGCCUGCGUCCCAUCAGCUAGUUGGUAAGGUAACGGCUUACCAAGGCUACGACGGGUAGGGGACCUGAGAGGGUGGCCACCCACAAUGGAACUGAAACACGGUCCAUACACCUACGGGUGGCAGCAGCAGGGAAUAUUGGUAAUCUGCGAAAGCGGGAACCAGCAACGCCGCGUGUGCGAUGAAGGCCUUCGGGUCGUAAAGCACUUUUCGAGGGGAUGAGGAAGGACAGUACCCUCGGAAUAAGUCUCGGCUAACUACGU
rnacentral:rRNA from 1 species